rnacentral:rRNA from 1 species
CCUACGGGAGGCAGCAGUGGGGAAUCUUCCGCAAUGGACGAAAGUCUGACGGAGCAACGCCGCGUGUAUGAAGAAGGCCUUCGGGUUGUAAAAUACUGUUGUUAGGGAAGAACGGCAUCUGUGUAAAUAAUGCAGGUGAUUGACGGUACCUAACGAGGAAGCCCCGGCUAACUACGUGCCAGCAGCCGCGGUAAU